rnacentral:lncRNA from 1 species
GCUUAAUAAAAGUUUUAUUCUGAAUAAAUUCUAUGUAAAUAAUGAAUGUUUCUGUAAUAGUUGUGUAUAGCUGAGAAGGGCUGUAUGUAAGUGUUGUGUUGUGCGUCUGCAGUGAGUGUCCAGCAUCAUCCUGUGUUAGUGAUGGAGAGCUACACCUGUGACGGAGGCUCGUCUCUGUCCCCGUCUCCACCCGAAGUCUCGUCCUCCAUCCUCUACCACGCAGAGCAGGAGCUGCAGAGUCAGAGCAGCACGUUCAUCACAGCGAGCAAGACUUCAGGUCUGUUAGGCCUCUCGACUCUGGUCUGAAUCAAACGCUUCAGAUCACUGUGAAUCCUUCGAGACGGACAGCAGUGUUCGGACAGACAGAGAUCAAAUGCACUGAGACAUUUCAUCAUAUUAUCAUUUCAUAGACUGAUAAUCGUCCAGAGAAUGAUGAAUAUGAAAAUAUGAAUUCUGACUGCAUUGCUGGUACGUUACAGGACCCAGAUCACGGAUCUACAUUAAUUCAGCUGUUAUAUUUUGACUCCUUUCAUCCUGAGACUGCAGAUUCUUCACCUCUCGACGUCUGACUCAGUAUUUCUGAUUGUACAAAUAGUUGAACAAACUGAGUUCUGGCGCUGCUGAUAAAAUCCAGACAUUGUUAAUAAAGAUUGAGUCCGACAUUUUACCAUGAAAAUAAAAAUAAAACUACAGUAAUUCAAAUCAAAUUGAAUUUUGUAAUUUAUUAAAAACUCAAGUGCUCAAGUAACAAAGAAAUACGCC